rnacentral:rRNA from 1 species
UACAGAGGGUGCAAGCGUUAAUCGGAAUUACUGGGCGUAAAGCGCACGUAGGUGGCUUGAUAAGUUGGGUGUGAAAUCCCCGAGCUUAACUUGGGAAUUGCAUUCAAGACUGUCUUGCUAGAGUGUGGAAGAGGGAAGCGGAAUUCCAGGUGUAGCGGUGAAAUGCGUAGAUAUCUGGAGGAACAUCAGUGGCGACGGCGGCGCACUGGCUCAUUACUGACGCUCAGGCGCGAUAGCGUGGGGAUCAAACAGG